UAUAAGUGCAUGAUAAAUGUUCCAUUGCUAUCAUCUCCUCAUUUCAAACCAGGCAGAACAGUAUCCAUAACACAGUUGUGAAAUGAACGUCAAGUGUACAUUUGCGGUCGUAGCAGUGCUAUUAUUAGUCAAUAACAUAGCAGCGCACGUUGGUUAUGGCCCCAUUGGAUACGCUGGCAGUGGAUAUGGUCACGGUGGAUAUGGCGGAUAUGGCGGCGGAGCAGGUAUUGGUGGAAUAGGUGGUUUUGGAGGAAUUUUGUCGUCAGGAUAUGGUAAUCCACGAUUUUGGAUGAAAUACGUCCCUAAACAGUACCAAGGAAUUGUACAGAGAUAUGCUACUGGUAACAUUGCCAGAUCUUUUAUGCAUCAGUGGCUCAAUCAGAAUAAGAAAUAUUAAAAAUGUGGUGUAUGAACUCAAUAUAAACAUUACUCUGUAUAAUAUGAUUUUUAAAUAAAAGCAGACUUUUGGCACUUGA